GCCUCAGUGGUGUAGUGAUAGCACGCCUCACCGGUACGGAUGAAACACGGGUUCAAAUCCUGUUUGACGUC